rnacentral:rRNA from 1 species
GAUGAACGCUGGCGGCGUGCUUAACACAUGCAAGUCGAGCGUGAGUCUGUGCUUGCACAGAUGAAAGCGGCGGACGGGUGAGUAACACGUAGGCAAUCUGCCCUUCACUAAGGUAUAGCCUCGGGAAACCGGGAUUAAAACCUUAUAAUAUCUUCUUUUCGCAUGAUGAGAAGGUCAAAGAUUUAUCGGUGAUGGAUGAGCCUGCGUUUGAUUAGCUAGUUGGUAAGGUAACGGCUUACCAAGGCUGCGAUCAAUAGCCGACCUGAGAGGGUGAUCGGCCACAUUGGAACUGAGACACGGUCCAAACUCCUACGGGAGGCAGCAGUGGGGGAUAUUGCACAAUGGGGGAAACCCUGAUGCAGCAACGCCGCGUGAGGUAUUGAAGGCCUUUGGGUCGUAAGCCUCUGUCCUUGGGGAAGAAACAAAUGACGGUACCCAUGGAGGAAGCCCCGGCUAACUACGUGCCAGCAGCCGCGGUAAUACGUAGGGGGCAAGCGUUAUCCGGAAUUAUUGGGCGUAAAGAGUGCGUAGGUGGUCUUUUAAGCGAGAGGUUUAAGUCAGUGGCUCAACCAUUGUCAGCCUUUCGAACUGGGAGACUUGAGUGCAAGAGAGGAAAGCGGAAUUCCUAGUGUAGCGGUGAAAUGCGCAGAUAUUAGGAGGAACACCAGUGGCGAAGGCGGCUUUCUGGAUUGUAACUGACACUGAGGCACGAAAGCGUGGGUAGCAAACAGGAUUAGAUACCCUGGUAGUCCACGCCGUAAACGAUGAGCACUAGUUGUCGGGAAGUAAUUCUCGGUGACGCAGUUAACGCAUUAAGUGCUCCGCCUGGGGAGUACGCACGCAAGUGUAAAACUCAAAGGAAUUGACGGGGACCCGCACAAGCAGCGGAGCAUGUGGUUUAAUUCGAAGCAACGCGAAGAGCCUUACCAAGACUUGACAUCCCUCUGACAGAACCUUAAUCGGUUCCUUCUUCGGACAGAGGAGACAGGUGGUGCAUGGUUGUCGUCAGCUCGUGUCGUGAGAUGUUGGGUUAAGUCCCGCAACGAGCGCAACCCUUGUCUUUAGUUGCCAGCAUUUAGUUGGGCACUCUAGAGAGACUGCCGGGGAAACUCGGAGGAAGGCUAGGAUGACGUCAAAUCAUCAUGCCCCUUAUGUCUUGGGCUACACACGUGCUACAAUGGCUGGUACAAAGAGCAGCAACAUCGCAAGGUUUAGCAAAUCUUUAAAGCCAGUCCCAGUUCGGAUUGCAGGCUGCAACUCGCCUGCAUGAAGUCGGAGUUGCUAGUAAUCGUAGAUCAGAACGCUACGGUGAAUGCGUUCCCGGGUCU